rnacentral:rRNA from 1 species
CGGCGCGGCGUCGGUCUAAGUCUCUUGGAACGGGGCGUCAUAGAGGGUGAGAAUCCCGUAUGUGACCGAUGACCAAGUCCAUGUGAAGCUCCUUCGACGAGUCGAGUUGUUUGGGAAUGCAGCUCAAAAUGGGUGGUAAAUUUCAUCUAAAGCUAAAUACUGGCCAGAGACCGAUAGCGCACAAGUAGAGUGAUCGAAAGAUGAAAAGCACUUUGGAAAGAGAGUCAAAAAGUACGUGAAAUUGUUGAAAGGGAAGCGCUUGCAACCAGACCUGUCCACGGGUGAUCAAUCGUCCUUCUGGGCGGUGUAUGCACCCGUGAUCAGGCCAGCAUCGGUUCGGGCGGCCGGAUAAAGGCCUUAGGAACGUAGCUCUCUUCGGGGAGUGUUAUAGCCUUUGGUGUAAUGCGGCCAGCCUGGACCGAGGACCGCGCUUCGGCUAGGAUGCUGGCGUAAUGGUUGUAAGCGGCCCGUCUUGAAACACGGACCAAGGAGUCUAACAUCUAUGCGAGUGUUUGGGUGUCAAACUCAUACGCGUAAUGAAAGUGAACGGAGGUGGGAACCCAUAAGGGCGCACCAUCGACCGAUCCAGAUGUUUUCGGAUGGAUUUGAGUACGAGCAUAGCUGUUGGGACCCGAAAGAUGGUGAACUAUGCCUGAAUAGGGUGAAGCCAGAGGAAACUCUGGUGGAGGCUCGCAGCGGUUCUGACGUGCAAAUCGAUCGUCAAAUUUGGGCAUAGGGGCGAAAGACUAAUCGAACCAUC